UACGUAGGGUGCGAGCGUUGUCCGGAUUUAUUGGGCGUAAAGAGCUCGUAGGCGGUUUGUCGCGUCGGCCGUGAAAUCUCCACGCUUAACGUGGAGCGUGCGGUCGAUACGGGCAGACUUGAGUUCGGUAGGGGAGACUGGAAUUCCUGGUGUAGCGGUGAAAUGCGCAGAUAUCAGGAGGAACACCCGGUGGCGAAGGCGGGUCUCUGGGCCGAUACUGACGCUGAGGAGCGAAAGCGUGGGGAGCGA
rnacentral:rRNA from 1 species